GAUGAACGCUGGCGGCGUGCCUAACACAUGCAAGUCGAGCGAACAGACCAGGAUCUUGCUCCUCUGACGGUAGCGGCCGAGGGGAUAGUAACAUGUGGAUAACCUACCUAUUAGACUGGGAUAACUUCGGCGAACCGGAGCUAAGGCCGGAUAAUAUAUUGAACCGCAUGGUUCAAUAUUUAAAGAGGGUUUUGCUGUCGCUUAUAGAUGCCUACGCGCCGGAUUAGCGAGUUGGUCAGGUAACGGCUUACCAAAGCAACGAUGCGUAUCCGACAUGAGAGGGUGAUCGGCCACACUGGAAAUGAGACCCGGUCCCGCCUCCUACGGGAGGCAGCAGUGGGGACUCUGCCGCACUGCACGCAGGACUGACGGGGCAAGGCCGCGUGAGUGACGAAGGUCUUCGGAUCGUAAGACUCUGUUCUUUGGGAUGAACAACUCUGUAAGUAGCUAUGAACGUCUUGACGGUACCUAAUCAGUAAGCCACGGCUAACUACGUG
rnacentral:rRNA from 1 species